rnacentral:lncRNA from 1 species
UCUGUCCAUCUACAACUACAAAAAAAAAUUAAAAGAAUAAUAUCUUUUCCCCAAACCUCAGUUCUUCAAAUUCUCAGAUAUGAUAACUUUGGAUGAUUCUGGUCCUUUUUUUCUCCAUCUGGCUUUGAUUUGGUGGUUUAUCAAUAUAUAUCUGUUUUCCCUUUGUGUAUAGUGAAAUGUGGAAAAGUAAGCUGAGUCAGAAAAGUGUCAGAAUUUACCAUUGUUGUGGUAAUUAUUUAAGGCCCUUUCUCAACAAUUUUUCCCAGAUUCAGCUGCAUAUCUCUCUGGCUUAUGAUAACAUAGUAAAAGCAUGCAGACAGGAAACAAAUUUAAAAUGUUUUCACCAGAAGAUAACAAACAACACUUUCUAAAACAAAACAUGAAGUUCUAAUAUAAAUGGUGCUUGAGAGGGGAAAAAAGGAUUUUAAAAAAAGAUACAGUGAAUUAACUAAAAAAUAACAGCCAAUUCUUUGUUCUGGUUAUCAUUUUUAUUCAAAACCAAGACAUUUUUAUUUGUAUACUCUGAUAAGCACUGUCUCUUCUAAGGGAGGGAAGGAGUCAUGGACAAGCCCUGAGCUCAGCUGUAGGAAUAUGAAAAUGGAGAAGUGCAGCACUGUGGGACAGAUUAGUCUCUGGAGAGCACUGGGUCAGCAUUGUUUUAUCAUGGUAUGUUUGCUUUCUGUUUUGAGAUCUUUGGUGACUCACAAAUGUUCUCUCUCUCUCCACCCUUUAUCUAACCAGCCACAAUAAAAUCUAACUGUCAGAGAACAGUAUGUUUAUUACUAAGGAAAGGCAGGUAUUUGAUGCAAUAGUAACUAAAAUUUGCUUAAUUAUGUAAAAUUUGCCAUAUAUCGUCAAAUUUCUUUUUUUUUAGAAUUGAUUCAUUAUUCUCUUUUUAAGCCAAUAAUUAUUUAACUAGUGAUAAUUAAAAUUAUUUUAGUAAAUCAUUAAUCUUUCAAUAAGCUUUAAAAUCACAAUUAGAAUAAAUAUGCUUUAGACAAUUUUAAUAUGAACAGAGCAAUUACAUUUAGUUUCUUUUCAGUUUGAUGGGGGUAAAUAAAACUAUGUUUUAGUUUGAAUACCAAAAUGUAAGAUUCAAAAAAUACAACUGGUUAAGCUGUAAAAACUACCUACUGCUUUACUUGACAUCACAGAAUUUUCCCAUUUUCUCACAAUAUCUUUCCCAUUUCCACUAAUAUUUUCAGUCUAAAAUUUGUAGCCAUGAUGAGUACUCAAUUCUAGAUCCAGACAUGCUAGAAUUCUCAAUAGUAUAUAAAUCUUUCAAAUUCUCACCUCAUCAUUAAAGUCACUCUUUAAGGUUAUAUGCAACCUGUGGCAAAUUAUUAGGAACAUAGAAUAUCUGAACAUAUAACAAAUACAACUCUUGUUCACUGCCUAAAUCUGAAUCAGAAUCAGGGAUCCUGAAUUCCUGGCCCAGGAAACCUAUGAAUAAACAAAUUUUAAAGGGAGAGUAUUUGGUCAGGGAAUGUGGUAUCCUGGCUCCUACACCUUGUGCAACUUAGGAGCAAGUCCCUAAAUAUAGAUUGUGCCUCAGUUUAAUCACCUGUGGAACUGUGAUACUGACUAUCUAUGCUUUAACAUCCCAUCUUAGGGAUACUGAGAUCUAACGCAGGAAAGUGCUUUGAACUGCUCAGAAAAUAGUGCUUCAUAACUUCGAAGAUUAUCAUUAUUGUCACCAUCUUUAUACUUGAUACUUAUUCUUGAUGUUCUUUCCAUCAGAAAAAUUCAGAUUUACAAAGACAUAUAUGUAUUCAUAUAGCAUAUCUCUGGGAGAAAUCUCUAAUUUCAAUAUGCAAAAUAAGUAAUUAAGCAAAUUAAGUUUUAAGACAAUUUAAAUGAUCCAAAGCCAGAAUUCCAGUCUAGUAUAUACGAAUAUAUUGGCUCUCAGAGCAACAGCAUUAUAAACUCACCGGUAACUGAGUCAAUCUUCACAUGACUAAGUAGCAAAUUUUGUAAUUUUGUUGCUGAAAGCUCAGUCCUUGUCCCCAAUGUUAAUCCAAUAAUGAGUACACUGUUUUGAGAAAAAGGGAAAAGAAGGUUCAUUGCUUUGCUAGCAAAGGAGAAACACAAGAAACUCCUAUCCCAAAAGCUGUGAUUCUGCCCAUCCGCAGGAACAGGGGGCUUUUAUAGAGGUGAUUCAGAAAAAAUGAGAUUAGGGAGGAGAGAUCAGGAAGGGGAAGAUCAGGAAAAGAAGAUCAGGAAGGAGAAGUUUAGGGAAAAGAAUAUCAGAAGAUCAGGGAGGAGAUGGGAAAGGAGAAGAAGGUUUGGGAAAAGAAGAUCAAGGAAGAGUCUGGGAAGAAGAAAGUUAGGGAAAAGAAGAUCAGGGAGGAGAAAAGAAGAUUUGGGAAAAAGAAAAAAACAUGGAAGUUUCAAGCCAGAAGGGAUAUAGUCAAAGCAUCAAGAAUAAACAAUGUAUUACAAUUUCACUUUUAAAAUUUCCUACAACCAGGACUUCCUUUUAAAUGAAUGGCUUUUUAAAUUAAAUUAAUGAUCAAUAUUUCAAAGAAAGUGAGAAUGAGAGAAAUUUCAGGUUUCCUAAGAUGACAACUCUACUUGAUCAUAAUAGAUUUCCAAAUAGCUACUGUGUUAAUAGUUCUCCAGAGAAACAGAAUCAACAAAGGGUGUAUGUAGGGAGUAUGGGGGACAGAAGAAAUAGACAAAGCACAGAGAUUUUAAGGAAUUGGCUCAGUUGAAUGUGGAGGCUAAGUGAGUACAAUAUCUUAUGGGCUAGUCCAGCAGAAUGGAGAUUCAAGGAAGAGUUGCAAGUCAAAUCAAAUUGCAGAUUGAAUUCAAAGGUAGUCUGCUGACAGAAUUCCUUCUUGCUGGAGAGAGGUCAGUCUUUAUUCAGUUAAGCCCUUUGUUUUAGUCAGCUUUUUCUCUACUGUGACUCAAAGUGAGACAGGGUGUCAUUCAGAAGAGUAUAGCAGAGGAAAGCAUCUCAGGACAUGGUCAUUGAGAGGGAGAGGGGGAGUUGGGGAGAGAGAGCGAGAGUGAGAGCAAGAGAGAGAGAGAGAUUGAUUAAGCUCAGUUUACAAAAUAUAUACCCCAAAAGCAUGACCCCAGUGACCCACCUCCUCCAGCCAUACCCUAUCUGCCUUCAGUUACCACUCAGUUAAUUGCUAUCCAGGGAUCAGUUCAUUGAUUGGGUCAAGGCUCUCAUAACCCAAUCAUUUCACCUCUAAACCCUGUAUUGUCUUACACAUGAGAUUUUGGAGGACACCUCACAUCCAAACCAUAACAGCCUUCAACUGAUUGGAUGUGGAAGGAAAUCUGAUUUACUCAGAAUCCAGUUGAAAUAUUAAUAUCAUUCAAAAAACACCAUCACAAACACAUCCAGAAUAAUAUUUGACCAAAUAUCUGGGCAUUAUAGUCCAAAUAAAUUGACACAUAAAAUUAGUGAUCACAGCUGCUUUGGUUUAGUGGCACUAAACUAUAAAAUAUAAAUAUACAUUAUUACAUAUUGUCUUCAUUCAAAACACUUUGAUUUUUUAAUUGACAUAAAAUUGUAUGUAUCAAUAAUGUGAUAUUUAGAAGUACAUAUACAUUGUAGAUUGACUAGUUAACAUAUGCAUAUUUAUUUUGGUGAUGAGAACACUCAGCAUUUUUCAAAAAUAUAAUGUUACUAACUAUGGUCACUAUAUGGUCACCAUGUUGUAUGAUAGAGCUCUUGAAUUUACUCCUCCUAACUGAAAUUGUGUAUCCUUAAUCAACAUCUCUCCAACACUCCCCCCACCUCGCCACACACACAGAGACACAGCUGUCCCAACCCCUGAAAACCAUUAUUCUACUCUGUAGUUCUAUGAUCUACUUUUUUAGAUUCCCACAUGAAUGAGAUAAUGCAGCAUUUGUCUUUCUGUGCCUAGCUUAUUUCAUUUAACAUCAUGUCCUCCAACUUCAUCAUAUUGUUAAUAUAUAUGGCAGUAUUUCCUCUUUUUAUGGUUGAAUAAUAACCCAUUGUAUAAAUAAAUAUUUUCUUUUUUAUAAUACACAUCCUAGCAGGUAUGACAUGAUAUAGCUCAUUGUGCUCAUUGCAUUUUCCUGCUGUUAAGUUAUGUUGAGCAUUUUUUCAUAUAUGUGUUGCCGUUUGUGUGUCUUCCUAAGAUAAAUGUAUAUUAGGGUCCUCUAACCAGUUUUUGUUUUUGUUUUUAAUUUUUUAAGUUGUCAAUGGACCUUUAUCUUAUUUAUUUACAUGCAAUGCUGAGAAUUGAACCCAGUGUCUCAUACAUGCUAAGCAAGUGCUCUACCACUAAGCCACAAGCCCAAGCCCCUCUGCCCAGUUUUUAAUCAGGUUAUUUGUUUACUUACUAUUGAGUUGUUUUAAUUCUUUAUAUAUUUUGGAGAUAAACCCUUUAGCAGAUAUAUGAUUUGCAAGUAUUGUAUCUCACUCUGUAGGUUAUCUUCACCCUGUUGACUGUUUCCUUGAAUGCACAUUUUAGUUCGAUAUAAUCCCACUUGUCUAUUUUCAUUUUGUUGCCUUGGAUUUUGGGGUCAGACCACAAAAAUCAUGCCCAAACCAAUGUCAUGGAACUUUUCCCUCGAUCUUUUUCUAGUAGUUUCAUAAUUUCAGGUUUUACAUUUAAGUCUUUAAUCUAUUUUCAAUUAAUUUUUAUAUCUAGUAUAAGAUAGUGAUCUAAUUUCAUUCUUCUGAUGUAUAUAUCCACUUUUCCCAACACCAUUUAUUGAAAAGACUGUCCUUUUCCUAUUUUGUGUUCUUGGUAUCUUUGUUGAAAGUCAGUGCCUAUAGACGUGUGAAUUUAUUUUUGUGCUCUCUGUCCAGUGGUCCAAGUAUCUAUUUUGUUUUGUUUUAUAUUUGUUUGUUUUGCCAGUAAAAUGCUGUUUGGGUUACUAUACCUUUGAAGUUGGAUAGUGUGAUACCACCACUAUAUUCUUUUUGUCCAACAUUGCUUUGAUUGAGCAGGGUCUUUUGUGGUUCCAUGUGAAUCUUAGAAUUUUUUUUCUAUUUCUGUGAAGAAUGUUCUUGGUAUUAUCAUCAUAGGGAUUACAUUGAAUCUGUAGAUUGCUUUGGGUAAGUGCAGAUAUUUUAACAGUAUUCAUUUCUCCAAUCCAUGAACAUGGGAUAUCUUUCCUUUUCUAUGUCUUAUUCAAUUUCUUUCAUUAAAUUUCUUAAAUUUCAUUAAAAUUCAAUUUCUUUCAUUAAAACAUUUCAUUAAUGUUUUAUACUUUUCAAUGUACUAAUCUUUCAUCUCCUUAGUUAACUUUCAUUCUUUAGUGUUUUUUCUGUAUUUCUUGUAAAUGGGAUUGUUUCCUUGAUUUUUUUUUCCAAAUAGGUUGCUGUUAGUAUAUAGAAACACUAAUGAUUUUUAUAUGUUGAUUUUGUAUCCUGCAAUUUUACUGAAUUGUAGCAGGUUGGGUUUUUAUUUUGGGAGUGUUUGUUGUUGUUGUUGUUGUGUGUAUGUGUUUGAAUGCCUUUUCUUUCUCUUGCUUAAUUGUUCUGGCUAGGACUUCCAGCACUAUAUUGAAUAGAAGUGGUGAGUGUGGCAUUGUUUUGUUCCAAAUCUUAGAGGAAAAGAUUUCAUCUUUUCCAUGUUUAGUAUGGUGAUUUCUCUGGGUUUUUCAUGUAUGGACUUAAUAUUGUGCUGAAGAAUGUUGUUUCUAUACUUAACUUGCUGAGGGCUUUUAUCAUAAAAAGAUGUUGUAUUUUGUCAAAUGCUUAUUUCUGUUGAACUGAUCAUAUCUAUUAGUGUGAUGUAUUACAUUUAUUGAUUUGUGUAUGUUCAAACAUCCUUGCAUCCCUAGUAUAAAUCCCACCUGAUUAUAAAUUUAGUUUCCUGGUAUUUUGCUGAGAAUUUUUUUUUAAUCUAUUUGCCUUUAUUUUUUUCCUUUUUCUUUUGUUUUUUAUUCCUUUUCUUUUUAUACUGUCCUUUUCUGGCUUUAGUAUCAGAGUAAUGCUGACCUCAUGAGUUUGAAUGCAUUCUCUCCUCUUCAAUGUUUUGGAAGAGUUGAAGCAUUGAUAUUAGUUCUUUAAGUGUUUGACAGAAUUCAGCAGUGAAGUCAUCAUGCUCAGGGCUUUUGUUUGAUGGGAAACUUUUUUAUUACUGAUACAAUUCCCUUACUCGUUGCUCUGUUGAGAUUUUCUAUUUCUUCAUAAUUCAAUAUUGUAGGUUGUAUAUGUCAAGAAAUUUAUCCAUUUCUUCUAGGCGUCCAAUUGUUGGCACAUACCUGUCCAUAUUCAUCUCUUAUGAUCUAAUCAGUAUAAAUAUAUGAAUAUUAUUUAUGCCAGUGAUAUUGAGCCCAGUUGUAUAUUCUAUUAAUUUGUAUGUAGUGCUGAGGAUCGAACCCGGGCUGCACGCAUGCCAGGCGAGCGCACUAUUGCUUGAGCCACAUCCCCAGCCCCUAUUCUAUUAAUUUGUAUUUCUUUUGUAUUAGAGAGUUUUAUUUGGUUGGAUUUUGUUGUUGUUGUUGUUGUUGUUUUGUUUUUGGUAGUGGUGCCGAGAAUUGAACCCAGGGCCUUGUACAUGCUAUGCAAGCACUACCAACUGAGCUAUAUCCUCACCCACCCACCCCCACCGUAUUAGUUUUAAUGUCUCUUUUUUUCAUUUCUGAUUUUAUUUAAAGUCUUUCUUUUUUUUCUCAAUCUACCCAAAGGCUUGUCAAAUGUUUAUCUUUACAAAAAUCAUUUCAUUUCAUUGACCUUUUUCCUAUUGGUUUUCUAUCUACUCCAUUUAUUUCUGCUAACUUGGUAUUCUGUUAAGAGAUAAAAAGUCAAGCAAAGCCAGGUAGAGUGGUGCAUGCCUAUAAUCCCAGCAAUUCAGGAGACUGAAGCAGGAGGAUCACAAGCUCAAGGCCUCAGCAAUUUAGUGAAACCCUGUCUCAAAAAUAAAAACGACUUGGAAUGUGGCUCAGUGGCAAAGUGCCCUUGAUUCAAUCCCCGGUAGAAAGCAAGCAACCAAGAAAGAAAAUCAGCCAGUAAAGGAAAAGCCACUGGAAUCAAAAUUUUUGAAUAGAUAUGGAUGUGCCAGGUGCAGUGGCACACUCCUGUAAUCCCAGCAAUUUGGUAUUGCAGGAAAUUUGGGAGGUUGAGGCAGGAGAAUCAAAAGUUCAAUCAAGGCCAGUCUUGGCAAUAUAGCUAGAUCCUGUCUCUAAAUAAAAAUAAAAAAGGGCUGGGAGUGUAGCUCAGUGAUAGUUCCCCUUAGUAAAAUUCCCAGUUGCUACCCCCCCCAAAAAAAGAUGUAGAUAUAUGUUUAUCCAGACCUCAGUUUCCUCGUCUGUAAAAUGGAUAUAAGGAUAUUUCUUUUGAGCUGUGAGUGUAGCGCAGUGAUAGAGCACAUGCUUAGCAUGUGAGGUUUUGGGUUCAAUAUCUAGCACCCUGAAAAAAUUUUUAACUUCUAUACAGAAGUGUUCUUGAAAAUGUAAAUGAGCACUUUACAGAUUAUCAUUUACAUAUAUAACCUGCUUUUUAAAACUUUUAAAAAUUUGUUCUUUAUAUAUAUAUAACAAAAUAAUGCAUUUUGACCUAUUUUACAUACAUGCAGUAUAACUUCCCAUUCUUGGGUUGUACAUGAUGUGGAGUUACAUUGGUCAUGUAUUCAUAUAUGAACAUAGGAAAGUUAUGUCCGAUUCAUUCUACUGCCAUUCCGAUUCCUAUUCACCCUCUCUUCCCUUCUUUCCCUUUUGUAAUCCAAUGAACUUCUGUUCUUUCCUACCACCCUCUUAUUGUGUGUUAGCAUCCACAUAUCAGAGAGAACAUUCAGCCCUUGGUUUUUUGGGAUUGGCUUAUGUCACUCAGCAUGAUAGUCUCCAGUUCCAUCCAUUUACCAGAAAAUGCCAUAAUUUCAUUCUUCUUUAUGGCUGAGUAAUAUUACAUUGUGUAUAUAUACCACAUUUUCUUUAUCCAUUCGUCUAUUAAAGGGCACUUAGAUUGGUUCUAUAGCUUAGCUAUUGUGAAUUGAGCUGCCAUAAACAUUGAUGUGGCUGCAUCACUAUAGUAUGCUCAUUUUAAAUCCUUUGGAUAUUGAUGUGUGGGUUAACUGGAUCAAAUGGUGAUUCCAUUCCAAGUUUUCUGAGGAAUCUCCAUACUGCUUUCCAUAGUGGUUUCACCAGUUUGCAGUCUCACCAGCAAUGUAUAAAUAUACCUUUCCCCCCACACACAUCCUUGCCAACAUAUAAUCUGCUCUUAACAUGUAUUUUCUGCCCUCUAAAGCAUGCCAAAAUACUUGGUUUAUUGCAUGUAUAUCUCUCUAUUGCAGUUCAAUAACAAUAAUUUGCAUUUUCUAGAGAAUGAUUCAUCAGCUACAUUGUUUUACCACAUUUUGGUCAUACUUGGAUAUAAGAUGUAUUAUAAAUAGGCAUUAUCACUAAUAAAAUUUAUAAAGUACUAUAUAGUUUGCAAAUGAUUUUCUUUUUUUUUUUAAUUGUAGGUGGACACAAAACCUUUGUUUUAUUUAUUCAUUUUUAUAUGGUGCUGAGGAUGGAACCCAGUACCUCACCCAUGCUAGACAUAUGCUCUACCACUGAGCUACAGCCUCAGCCCCUCUUUUUUUAAUAAAUGAGAAUGGAUUCAAUAUUACCCCUAUAAUAACAUUCUCAAUAACUUGUAUUCAUAUAUGUUUUAUUUCUUUGUGGGAAAAAAAAGGAAUACUAGGAAUUACACAUAACUUGAAGCAUAUUGUCAUCUAAGUUGUUGCAAUAAUCUUGGUCACCUUUUAGCAGUAUUUCUUUUCUAAACUAUCUCUAACUUUAGUUUUCCUAAGUGAAAUAAAUUAUGAUUACAGUAAACUGGAAACAUCUGUUGUUCUCCUCUACUUAACACUUUCAGUUUACAAGUCUAAUAUUUGAGUGUGUUGAUGAAGUCUAUUGACAUCACCUCAGUCGUGCUACUAUUUAUACAUUUAAGAAUUUUAAAAAAAUUUACUAGGGCUGGUAAUAUAGCUUAUGGUGGAAUACUUGGCUAGCAUGUGAAAAUUUCCAGCACUACAAAAAAAAAAAACAACAACAAAAACAAAAAAUUAAAUACUAUGUUUGACUUAUAAAAAUAUUAGCAGGCAGGGGUAUUGUCUAUUAAUUCUUUUGGUCUAACAACAUGCAUCAUAAGUAAGGGGAUCAGAGGCCAUGGAUUGCCUGGUAUACUCCUGAUUUUUGCCUGCUGUACCAUUGUAAUUAAUAAUAACCCCCUUUUUCAAUCUCCAAGUAUAAUGUACUCACUGCUAUUUAUCAAUGUAUUACACAUAGCAUGUAUUAGGAGUUCAGUAUUUGUUAAUGAAUAAAUGAUAGUCCAUAUCCAAAGAGAUAAUCCCAUUAAAUAUAGUUCAAGGAAUAUAGUUCUUCAUUAAAAUACUAUGAGCAUUUUGGUGAACUAAAUGAGGAAUCCCAAGAAAGAUAUGUUCAUGUUCUAAUCCCCUGGAACCUUAUAUGGCAAAAGAUGUGAUUAAAUUAAAAACUUAAAAGAGUUUAUCCUGGAUUAUCUGAGUGCAAUCACAUGUAUCUUUAUAAGACAGAGGAGGUUUUGUGAUACACAACACACACACACACACAGAGAAGGCACUGUGAAGACAGAGUAGAGAGAUAUGACCACAAGCUAAGGAACAACAGCCAACAGCCACCAGAAGUUGGAAAAGACAAGAAAUUAAUUCUCUUUAGAGCCUCCACUGGUAAUAUGGCUUGCUAACACCCUUUAUUUGCGGUUUAGGGCCCCUAAGAAUGUGAGAAAAUAAAUUUAUGUUGUUUUCAUUCACCCAUUUUGUGGCAAUUUUUUAUGGCAGCCAGAGGAAGCUAAUACAAGCUUUUUACACAUUGCUUACAAAAGUAAAAAAAUAAAAGAAUAUCCUCAUGGUUACUUAUGUUGUUGUAGAGGAGAAUUUUGUGCACUUGGGAAAGUAUGAGAUUCUUCCACACAUUAACUAAAUAAAAUUGGAAAAAUUACUUAAAUUUCAAUUUCUUGUAUCUGUAAAAUGGGAGACCUGAUACAUCUCUGCUUAGCCCAAAGUGGUUUUGUAUUGAAACUAAAUUGCAAGAAUGUAUAUUUCAUACUCAAUAAAUAUUUAUUGAUGCCUACUAUGUACCAGGAUCUAUUCUAAGUUUUUAAUCUCUUGUUUUCCAAUACAUUGUCUACCAAUGUAUUUGUGUGUGUGUGUGUGUGCAUGCAUCUUUUAAAACUUUUAAAACGGACACCAAACGACAGUCAUGGUUCCUGAUGUCAUUGAGCUUACAUUCUAAUGCAAUGAGCAGGCAAUACACAAUAAAAAAAUUCAAAACAUUAUUUCAGAUAAUAAUAAGGACUUUGAAAAAAUUAAAUGAGGUAACCUAAUAAAGUGCUUGGGAAAGAGAGCAAUUUUACAUAGAGUGAUCAGGAAAGGAUUUUCUAAAAAAUAGCUAUUCAGCCAGGCAUGGUGGCACAUGCCUAUAAUCCCAGCAGCUCACAAGUUCAAAGUCAGCUUCAGCAAUGGCUAAGCACUAAGCAACUCAGUGAGACCUUGUCUCUAAAUAAAAUACAAAAUAGGUCUGGGAAUAUGCCUCAGUGGUCAGGUGCCCCUGAGCUCAAUCCCUGGUACCCCCCCCCCCGAAAAUGGCU